GAGGGUAUAGCUCAGUGGUAGAUUGCAUGCUUAGCAUGCAUGAGGUCCUAGGUUCAGUCCCCAGUGCCUCCA
rnacentral:tRNA from 1 species